GUCAGCAUCCCAGAUGUCAUGGCUUCACCACACUUCCAGAGCCUGUGGAGAGCACUGUCAAAACAGGCCCAAAGCUAAGCCCUGAGAUGCUGCCCAAGAAGGAGGUCCCGGGACUGCUGUCCCGUGGGCCGCAGUCUGCCCGCUGCUGUCCCACCCCGCUUCUGUGAUCCUCUGCAGACCUUCUGUGCACAGUGAUCUCUGGCAUCCCGUCCUGGUAAGCCAUGGCAGCUGCCGGCGGAGCCCUGUCUCUCCCAGGUUGUGUUCAGUCUGGGUCGAUGAUGACACUGCAAUGGGGCUGAAAAGAGGUGAUGUCUUCAAAAACAGGCUCAAUAGGAUUACGCUGAGGCCCAGCCUAAGGGAGGGUGGCACCAGAGGAGAUUGGCAGCCGGCCAUCCUGUCCAGGACAGUCGAACUGUGGCUGGGAGCCCACUAAGUGGCCCCACAGGGGAGAUGCUGUGGAGCCACAGUGUGGGCUGCCCCUGCGGAGAAGUUGGGGUCUUUGGGCUGCGAGGAUGUUGAUGCCCACCUCUCUCCCAACUUGCUGCCCUGCUGCUCUGCAGGGAAAAUGCUACCUUUGAAGCAGUGAGGACUGCCGUAGCCCUUGAGUAUGGGGAGGUACAGCGGGGCACUCUGAAUAUGGAAGGUGUGGCCAGGAAGCCUCCAGCAUUGGAUCCCGAGUCCAAGAGCAAUCUGGGCUGCCUGGGGGUCCAGAUAGAGCGUGCCUGUCCCAACGGUGUGCCCGCCUGUUAGACCAGCCAACUUCCACAGUGCUCCCUCUCACAAAUAACUAGUUUUCAGUUGGCCCUGCAGUUCUGGAGGCGAGGGGCUGAAUCCCUGGUCCCAUGGCUGUUUGAGCAGAUUUUCGGCCAGAGAGCCCAACCAGCACAAGUGGGAAGCCCCAUUUUCCCGAGGGACCAGGGAGGCAGUAUCCCAGGCCAGAUGAGAACGGUUUAGGAUACCCUUGGGAACCAGGUGGCCUAUGUCUGUGCCCCAGGUAGAUUUGUUGGAAAGACACGUGGGAGGGCAGAUGCAGCUCAAACAUGGACAGAGCCAGGGCGAGGUCUUCAGGAAACACAGGACACUGGCUGGGAGUCAGCAUCCCAGAUGU
rnacentral:lncRNA from 1 species